ensembl:lncRNA
UGGAAACCUGUCAUGUCUGUCUGUCUGUCUUUACGUGUGCCUAACAUUAUGCAUCUAUCAUCCUUGUGAUGAGUCGCUCAUGUUUUUAUGUCUUCAUGUACGCCUAACUUAUGCAUUUAUCAUCUUAGUGAUGAGUUGCAUUUAUGAUGAGCAUUUAUUAUGAGAUGCUUCUGUAAAAGUGUCUGUAUGUCCCUAUAUCCUAUAUACUUAUGUAAACAUAAUUACUCUCAAUUAUCAUCCGAGUGAUGAGACGCCUAUGUUACAUAUUGUUAUUUUGAAUCAAUAAACCGAAGCCUCAUGGUGGGCGAUUCGAAUACACUUCAAAUAACUAGUAAUGACUCCUGAUUGAGUCAUAGGCGAAUUUUUCUUUCGUUCUUUUAUUAUUUUCUUCCCGCUCCACAAGACCGGCUUCCUACACGGAAGGUUCCGAGCCCAGAGGUCCGGGACUCCGCCUGAUAAGGUGAGCAUUACCUUAUCAUUACUGAGCAUUAGCUAAAGUCUGUAAGGCAAGCAUAUAACUGGGAUUAUAUAUAAGAAUCUCUUUUUGGGGGAAUCUGAAAUACAGUACUCAGGCUACCCAGGUUCCCUGGAAGGUUAACAAUAAACAGUGUCUCUCAUAAAAUAUGUGAAACCAUUUGUUAUAAAAAAAAAAAAAGUAAUGCUCCUCUGUGUAUUUUCUUGUCAAUAUACAAAUCCCACUUCAAACAAGUUUCUGUGUGUGUGUGUGUUCUUUUCAUAAUCAUGUAUGUGUGUGUUCUUUUGACCACCCAUGAGGCCCCUCUGCUCUCGCCCACCGCACACACACAUGCUGUACAAACAGUAUACUGUAGAAAGGUCAUAUAGAACAUAGAGAAAUCUCAUUGGGAAUUAAGUCACCUUUCACGGUGCCUUUUAUUCUGAUCACAACCAGACAGUUAUAUUGUGUCUGGAGUUUAGUCUUUGUUUAGACUUUUUUGAUGCUGAAGAAGCAAAAAUCUAAGGAUCCCUUCACCUUCAGACUAAUGAUUUGCCAUUUCUGAACACGAUGCUUGAAAAGAAACACGUAUAACGAACGUGAAAAGGUAGAAAGGGGUUCUAUGAAUUAGUUAAUGGGUAUCUCUCUCUCUCUCUCUUUAUAUCGCUAUUACGCCAGUGCUUAAACAGAUACAUAGCAGACAAAUAUACAUAUAGACAGUUUUAUUUUGUACACGCAUACCAACUUAAUCUUCACCUAUCAUCGUUCCCUGUUAACCAAAUCUGUCACCACCCAAUAAAACAGUUUAAGUCACUAACCAAAGUAAGUAUACAAACUGACGCUAUAAUAAAAGAACAAAAACAGUGAACCUUUCUUAAAGAAAUUCCUAAAUGCUCUGACCUAAUAUAAUGAUGACGAUAGGUCAAAGGGUCAAAAUCAUCAUAAUUAAAUAUAAUGAUGACGACAGGUCGAAGGGUCGUGAUAAUCACUUAUAAUUAUCUUAAAUCCGGUUCCGAUGUAUUCCAGAUGUAUUCCAGACACACGCACACACAAGUUGUUUCCUUUCCCAUAGAUUGUGAUACGCUCAUGAGGUAGGCCUAGGUCAAAAAGGUCGAUGAUAAUUAUUGCUGCAUGUUCAUAGCUAUAGCUUUCACACGCAUAUAACCCCCGCCCCUCCCUGCUUAGGUUGUUAGUUGUUUUCCUGAAGGCCUAGGUCAAAAAAGGUCAAUGAUAAUUAUUGAUGCAUGUUCAUUCCUAUAGCUUUUCCUAUAGCUCCGAAGCACACACACACAAACAGACACAGACACACACACACCACACGCACACACAUACACACACACACACAAACGCUCACACAUACAUAAGGAUGAUGAAAAAUAAGUAAAUGAUUAAUAAUGAAUUUCAUCACACAUCCAACGAAAAAUAUGACUCACACACACACAACACGCACACACACACCCAACCAAAAAUAUCUCACACACACACACACACACACACACACACACACACACACACACACACACACACACACACACAUACAUAAGGCUGAUGAAAAUAAGUAAAUGAUUAAUAAUGAAUUUCUGUACACAUCCAACCAAAAAUAUGACGCGCGCACACACACACACACACACACACACACACACACACACACACACACACACAUAACCUGUCCAAUCAGAACAAAAGAAAAUAAAAUUGCUCCAUCCGGUAGGUGACGUUAUAAGCACCGUAAGUUUAUAGAAGAAGACGGCCUCACCCACCCUCUAGGUUUAAAAAUACUCUGUACUUCGAAGAUCGUGCGUGAGCUUACAACAUGUCUGCUGCUUGUCCUGAUGCACCGAAACAUAGUGGUUUUAGGUAUUCACAUAGUGAAAUACCUCACUAUUUUUUGGGAAGAUUACAAAAAAAUUUAGAGCAUGAAAAGAUUCAAUAUUGGGUAAUGUCAAACGGAUGUACAGCCAGAUUUUUUUUCAGUGCAGAAAAAGGAACCGUUGUGCUUUUCAAGUUUUCAAUCCCGGGUCACAUCCACUGGAGCUGCGCUACUGAGAGCGUAACUUUUAACGAGUGUGACUGGAAAAAGUUCCGAAAAUGGUGCAAGGAUUUUGACUACAUUAUUAGAAUGGACAACGCUGAUCCGAUCGAUCUUUCAAAUUGUACAGCUCGAGUCUAGCGUAUGUGGUAGUGAAAUUUCCGAUGAAUACAUUAGCGUUCAGCGGUUUAAUCAGUCUCUCGUCUGUGCAACGCCACUGCACCAUCGCCACCUUCUCAUUCAAAAAAGAGAACUGACUCACAUUAUAAAUAUCGGAGAACAUGAACUGUAAAAACUCGGUAGCAUCGCGAAUUAAGGUCGUGUUUGAUCUGUCAGGUCUUUGACACAUCUUACCCCACAACGAGUUUAGUGCGAGUUUAGCCACGGAUCUUUUGGUAGGAUUAACGGUGAUAGAUUUCGGAUCCAACGUGAUCCCUUCGUUCUCCUUAUACAUUCCUGACACAAACGUUACCAUACAUGGUACGGCCAUAUGUAUUUAUCUGUGACUUUCAGGUUCUUAUUGCCCUUUUUCCUGGUCUUGUUUUCAUUCUUCUUUCUCCCUUACCUUCUGUGUGUGUGUGUGUCCAUAGAUCUAUAGAUAGCUCCCUGCUUUUGCCACAUUCCCUUCCUUUUUUGGUGAUCGAUUUAUUACUUAAUGCUGUGUGUUAUUUUGGCUACUAGUAACCAGGUGCACAUGUCCCAUGUAGGGUGAAUGCCUACUUUUCAUGCCUCUCUUAUCUCUGUUUUUGGUAUGCAGCUCACAACGCGGGACUUGGUUUCCUAUUCGCUGCCCUAGAGAGACUGGAGGGCUUUGAUCUCAACACUAGAUACCAGCUGUCUCACCUAUUUGCAGACCUUGCUCUCUUGGUUGACGUCCUACGCACUCCGUCUACAACGUCUACCUUUCCUCCUCCUUUGCGGUAUCGGCUUAGCCCAGCUGCUAUCCUUGUCGAUGCCUCCACUCAGACGGGUCCUGUCGCCGACACACCUUCUUUGUACUCUGCUGAUGACUAUGAGGCAAUGGAGAACAUGGAUUCCCCCAGUUCGGAGUAUUCCGAUGACCCGUUGAGUCCAAUUCCCUCUCCAGGGCAUACCCCUUACCAUCAGUCUUUUCUCCCUCUUAUUCCCCUGCCAGUCCCUCUUACUCUCCUACCAGCCCCCCUUAUUCCCAAUAAAUGCGGUAGUUUACUUUUCCUCUGUCUCCUGUGGUUAUUUUCUUGCUUUCCAUAUUUAGUAUACCAAAUUAGUUACAACAACACCCACACACGUUGCACACAUGUUCUUUCUAACACUCUGAGGUAGGUCAUAAAAAUAUAUAUAGUUAUGUUAGAUCGGGUUCCCAGCUAUUCCUGACACAAACGUUACCACACAUGGUACGGCCAUAUGUAUUCCAGACACCACACACGUUGCAAACACAUGUUCUUUCUAACGCUCUGAGGUAGGUCAUAAAAAUAUAUAUUUAUGUUAAAUCGGGUUCCCAUACAUUCCAGACACUGUAGGCAUUGUAACAGAUAGUUGCAGAGUUUCUUCUGUGUUUUAACCACAACGUCUUAACCAUUAUUUUAACACUGAGACACACGACUCCCUUUAAUUCAUUAACAAAAACAUUUGUAAGAAUUCUGGUCAGCAAAACCCCCAAAAGAACACCUGUGUGUGUCUCUCUCUCACACACACACACCCACACACACCCACAUGGUCACCAGAGGUCAUAAAUGUAGUGCUGGGACAUGGGAUGUCAAAGCAUAGACAAAAGCUUAUGUUUUUAGCGACAGUUCUGUGUAAGUAUCCUCACUGGCGAACCAUUUUCUGAAAUCUUGUUUAUAGUUUAAACAAAAUGCACGAUUCUUUUAAAACACGGUCUUUAAAAAAGUUUUUUUCACCCUUAAAAUAACCUGGUUAGAAGGUAGGAUAUGUAAUACAUAUUUUCAUUUUCUUCAGACAUAUUGUCACUUCAGUCUCCACAACGAAUGGUUUUGACCUGUCUUUCAGUAAAAGAGAACAACGACAUCAUACAGCCUUGAAGGACUGUAGAAAUGUUUUACACAUCACAGUGUUUUUCUCAACAACCUAGCCAAUAAAUCGUUCAAUUAUUUCACAAACCUCAGUCUGUUCAUCUCUUGACAGAAGGAUUACACAUAGAUCAUACACAUAGGGUACACAGGUAUACGCUACACAUGCAUAACAUGUCCAAAAUUCUAAUACAUCUACCACAUUCAGUCACCAGGUCUAGUAUUUUCUGAUAGAUUAGUUACACGAACUGAUAAUUACGACAGAAGUAAUUUCAGAAACAAAGAUUCACUUAAACCACAAAUGUACACAUUGGUAGGGAUCGUUAAACCCUGAAACACACGACUCAUCCCUUAUUUCAUUAACAUAAACACACUGUAAGCAGUCUGGUCAGCAAACCCCCAGGAAACACAUGACUCACUCUCUCUCUCUCUCUCUCUCUCUCUCUCUCUCUCUCUCUCUCUCUCUUCUCUCUCUCUCUCUCUCUUUCUAACACACCCACACACACGCACGCACACCCCCACACCCACAUACACACACACUUCAGACACUGUCACCAGAGCUCAUAAAUGUAAAAUUUACACUAUCUACAGAACUGUCACCCCGGGAAAACACAUGUGUAGGAGAGUGUGUAUGGGCCUACAAGACAUCGCCCGAAAAAUGUGUCUUCUAGUUUAAACAAAACUCUCGAUUCUUUUAAGCAACACUUUAAACAUUUCACAUCCUAAAGGGUUAGGUUUAGAAGGCAUGUAAUACGCGCGUUUCUUAUAAAACACCGUCUUUAAAACGUUUACCUCCUGAAGGGACCUAUUUAGAAGGUAUGUAAAAACUUUUUUUUUUUUUUUUUUUUUUUUUUUUUACAUUUCUUCGGGUAUAUCAAUGUUUUAGAGUAUUUAUUUCAGUAAAUUUUUAUUCAAAGUCAUGCCAUUUUCUCAAAACUGCAAUCAAUAAAGUUUCAUUUAUUUCACAAGCUUACAUUCUGCUCAUUUAUGUUCACGUUCAACCAUCAUGUAUUUUCUAACAGCGGCGCUAUACAAAGCAAACCCCCACAAUCUAAAUUUAAUGUGUGGUUGCAAGAUAAAAAUUCUAAUUUAUUGAAUUCAUUAAAUAUUUAAAGUUGUACACAUUAUUUUGAUGAGUUGUGUUGACAUAAUAAUGUUGAUAAUAUUGUGUGUAAUUUCUGCAUUAAUUGAUUUAAAACAAAAUCUACGUUGUAGUACAUUUACAUUUAUUCAUUUAACAGAGUGUUAGAGGACCUGUGGACUGAACAAAUACAAAGGACAUUACAGUAUUCAGGAGAACACAGAGGGCCAUAAAUCAUAGAGUCAUCAAUCAAUCAUUUUGACAGUUUGACA